UUCUUUGUAUUUCUGUUAGUAGACACUCCGAUAUGAAUUUAGUCGAAAUCGGAAAUGGUGUCGUGAAGGAGGAAGAUAGAGCGGUUUUAUUGGAAGGCGGUGGUCUUCAAUCUGGUUCUCCUAAAGCGCGGUCUUCAACAUCUUCCUUUUCUCCAAUUCUCAAGUUUCUCAUGAUGGAUGAGACUUUCUUGUUUGAGAAUCGGUUGACACUUCGAGCUAUGCAAGUGAACUUUCAAUUUGUUGAUUAAUAGCAUGUAAUUUAACUUACUAUUGCUCUUCUUUUCACUCUUCUGCAAACCCUAAAUUUAGUUUCUCCCCUUCUUCUCAUCACUUGUGUACUUUCAGAAGAAACCCACAUUUUCUAUCCAAGAAAAAGUGGCCUUGUGGACAUACUAGAAGAGAGCAAGAAGGUGAUGGCUAUGGAUAUGACGGGGAGAAUGCGGUUUGCUUAUUU